AAGGAUUGAGCCGAGAUAUUUAAAGUGAUUACUUUGGGGCAGUAUCACUCUAUCCAAACUAACUUCUUUUCUAUCACUAGUUCGGCCUUCACUGAACUUGCAAUGCAUAUAUUCUGUCUUUGUUCUACUUAACUUAAAGUCCUUUGAUUCUAAAGUACUUCACAAAAGCUCUAGCUUUCUAUUGAUUCCUUCUUGCGUCUUAUCCAUCAGAACUAUAUCAUCCGCAAAUAUUAUGUACCAAGGGAUACUCUCUUGUAUAUGUUUCGUCAAUUCAUCUAAAACUAAUAUAAAAAGGUAAGGGCUUAAAGCUGAACCUUGUUGUAAUCCAACUGAGUUAGGAAAAUCUCUUAUGUCCCGUCUCAUUGUGCACACAAUAGUAGUUGCUCCUUCAUACAUAUCUUUCAACACUUAUAUGUACCUAAUAGAUAUAUUCUUUUGUUCUAACACUCUCAAUAAGACAUCUCCUGAAACACUAUCAUAAGCCUUCUCCAAAUCAAUAAAAAUCAUGUGUAGAUCUUUCUUCACAUCUCUAUAUUUCUCCAUCAAGUUUCUAAUGAGAAAGAUCGCUUCCAUGGUUGAACGAUUAGGCAUGAAACCAAAUUGAUUGGGUGAGAUAGAAGUGUCAUGACGUAGUUGAUGUUCCACAACUCUCUUCCACAGCUUCAUAGUAUGGCUCAUGACUUUAAUUCCCCUACAGUUUGAGCAACUCUGUAUGUCUCCCAUAUUUUUAAAAAUAGGUACUAAAACAUUCAUUCUUUAUUCAUUAGGCAUUUUUUUUGAGUUUAGAAUCUUAUUAAACAAUUUAGUUAACCAUGCUACUACCAUAUCUCUUAAAUACUUCUGCACUUUAAUUGGUAUUCCAUCGGGUCCAUAGGUUUUACCCACUUUCAUUCUUUUAAGUGCUUCCUUUACUUCUAAAAAUCUAAUCUUUAUAGUAUAAUUUGCAUUCUUUUCUAUUUCUCUUUUGUCUAUAUUCACGCUAUUACCACUUUGACUAUUAUUAAAGAGAUCAUUAAGAUAAUUUCUCCUUCUUUCUUUAAUGUCCUCAUCUUUUACCAACAUUUUUCCUUCUUUAUCUUUAAUGUGCCUAACUUGAUUGAGAUCUUAACAUUUCUUUUAUUUCCUUCUUGUUAAUCUAUAAAUAUUUUUCUCUUCUUCUUUAGUUCCAAGUUUCUCAUAUGACUUUUCAAAGGCUUGCACUCUUGUUUGAUUACUGCCUUUUCAAGUAGAGCUAAAAUAGAUAUGAGAAAAUUCACCAUGCCUGUACGUGCCCUUUGCCUUGUGUGGACACUAUUUCAAUCUUUAUGUGAUGUGGUUGAAGUCUUAGAGGAUGUUUGUUUUAACUUUUAAGCUAGUCAAACCAGCUUAUAAGCUCUAAAAAUAAGUAAUUUGUUUGUUUAUAACAUUUUUUGGACUUAUAAAUUAGUUUGACCAAGUACUUUACCUUAUUACUCUCUUUUAAUUUUAGAAUUCUACCGCAUAACUCAUUUAAUACCCAUUUUUUAAUAAUUUUAAUAAUAAAUGUGCUUAUAAGUUACUUUUUAUAAAACAUGUCAACUACUUAUCGACCACUUAUGAUCACUUUAAUCAAACACGUAAUUAUUUAAAAUUUUAAAUGCUUAUAAGUUUUAAUUAGUUUAUAAGUACAAGAUACUUAUAAGCUAAUUUUAAUAAGCUAAGUCAAACAUCCUCCUAGUCCAAUGAGUUUAGUAUCUUGCCAUUUAAAUUUUCUUCUAUCACAGUGCGGUUUUUUUUUCCUUUCUAAAGUUAUUUAAGUUUCAGUCUAGUGAGCUUAGUGUCUUGCCAUUUAAAUUGUCAUCUAUCACAAUCCUUUUUCUUCUUGUUUCUCAUGCAAAAGUUUUUUACCUCAUGCUAUUCCUUCAUGGUGACAUUUAUGUAGGGCUGAGCAGAAAUUGGUUUUGAGCAGAAAUCAGUUUUAACGGAAAAGCUAAAGCAAACCAAUCUAAUUCAGUUUUUUGGUCUAAUUAGUUUGGUUCUGUUACCAUUUUACAAAAAUUUUGUUUUUUGGUUUGCUUUGCUUAGUUCAGUAAAAAAAAUACACGGACCUAAGUUUUCUACAUGUGUUAUGCUAUGCCAUAUAGCCUACUCAUAUGUUAAAUCUCCAAUUUUUUCAUAGUUAUUGCCUCUCCCUUCCACACAUACACAAUCUCACCUCUCUUUCUCUCAAUCUCGCCAAUCCCUUUCUGGGUGGAAUCCAAAUGCCUGCAUUGAAGGAAGAGAGGUUGGAAGAGGGGUUCAAUUUGUUCCUAGGUGCCUACAGGUGGAAGCUUUCAUCAGCCCUUGGCAUUAUAAGGGGUCUAGCAUGCAACCAUUUGGAUUUCAGGAAUUUAUUGAAAAUAUGAUGCAAGGCAUUGUUCUUGGCACAUAUGAUGGGGAAAGUCUCUGACAGCCAAGGACAAAUGCAUUUACGAAUGGGACUGCGUCUAGAUUGCUCUCCAUGAUUUUUUUUCUCCACUAAGACUCUAACUAAGUUAUGGCUGUACAAUGGUAAGUGUAACUAAUCUGCAUUCCCUUUUGUUCCUGAUGAAAUAAAACAUACCCAGACAAACCAAAUCCUUUUAUGCCACUUUCCAAUGAUCUAAAUGCAUAUGCGCACACCUGCACAUCCUUGGAUGGGUAUAUGUGAGGAAGGAGAGAUAUUUAGCUGGCAAAAAUGCAUAACUUGAUACGCAUGCAACUAUGAUUGAAUUUAUGCAAUAUUACUUGC